GACGAACGCUGGCGGCGUGCUUAACACAUGCAAGUCGAACGGAAAGGCCCUGCUUUUGUGGGGUUCUCGAGUGGCGAACGGGUGAGUAACACGUGAGUAGCCUACCCUUGACUUUGGGGUAACUUCAGGAAACUAGGGCUAAUACCGGAUAGGAGCUCCUGCUGCAUGGUGGGGGUUGGAAAGUUUCGGCGGUUGGGGAUGGACUCGCGGGUUAUCAGCUUGUUGGUGGGGGAGUGGCUUACCAAGGCUGUGACGGGUAGCCGGCCUGGGAGGGUGACCGGCGACAUUGGGACUGAGGUACGGACCAGACUGCUACGGGAGGCAGCAGUGGGGAAUAUUACACAAUGGUCGGAAGCCUGAUGCAGCGACGCCGCGUGCGGGAUGAAGGCCUUCGGGUUGUAAACCGAUUUCGCCUGUGACGAAGCGUGAGUGACGGUAAUGGGUAAAGAAGCACCGGCUAACUACGUG
rnacentral:rRNA from 1 species